rnacentral:rRNA from 1 species
GACGAACGCUGGCGGCGUGCCUAAUACAUGCAAGUAGAACGCUGAAGAGAGGAGCUUGCUCUUCUUGGAUGAGUUGCGAACGGGUGAGUAACGCGUAGGUAACCUGCCUUGUAGCGGGGGAUAACUAUUGGAAACGAUAGCUAAUACCGCAUAACAAUGGAUGACACAUGCCAUUUAUUUGAAAGGGGCAAUUGCUCCACUACAAGAUGGACCUGCGUUGUAUUAGCUAGUAGGUGAGGUAAUGGCUCACCUAGGCGACGAUACAUAGCCGACCUGAGAGGGUGAUCGGCCACACUGGGACUGGGACACGGCCCAGACUCCUACGGGAGGCAGCAGUAGGGAAUCUUCGGCAAUGGGGGCAACCCUGACCGAGCAACGCCGCGUGAGUGAAGAAGGUUUUCGGAUCGUAAAGCUCUGUUGUAAGUCAAGAACGGGUGUGAGAGUGGAAAGUUCACACUGUGACGGUAGCUUACCAGAAAGGGACGGCUAACUACGUG